AGAUCAACUCGACAGAUUUCUCUAUUAAAUAUUAAGUCAUGUUACACCCUUGCCCGUGUUUAUACACUAUUCCUAAUUGUUAGGAGUCUGUAAGGACAAAACCUAGAUGAGUCUGUAAAGACAAGUCUGGGGCAAGUCCAGGAGAAACGGCACUAGCAGAAAAUGUGUGCUGUGAUGAUAAGAGUGACGUAUAGGCAGACAGGAGUGUUAAUCUGGAGUGUGACGCAGGGAAGAGGAGGUAAGGCUGAGGAAUAGUAUAUAAACUGAGGCAAAAAGACAAGAAGGCAUUCUCAAGAUGAUCUGCUAGAGACUCUGUCGGAGAGGCGCCAGGAAAACUCUACAGCAUCGAGAAUCAAUCAAUCAAUCAAUCAAUCAAUCAACGAGACAUUGGACCAGAGAUCUUCCAAGAGCCAGAGAACCAGCUCUUGCGUGCCGAUCAAGACUUGCUGAUCCAGAGGUCUACGUCGAGAGCCACGAACCAUCAUCAGGGACACAACCUGGACAUCCAUUCAACGUUGACUCCGGUUCCAACUCCAUCAGAUCCUGUCGUGGCGCCUCCCUGCCUUGAGUUCCACAAAAAAACAAAAGCUCUCUGCUUCUUCCUGCAAACACAGAGGCCUGCCCCUCUGCUCACCACACCGAAGAAUUGUCUUCAUCAGGUUCAAGAGAGACAAAGGGCCUGAAACACAGGCAGGCCUUGAAGAACGUGUCGUUCGGGAGUGAUCAACGUGUCCAGAAGACUAACCCAUCCUCCUGUUUCCCGCCGAGUCUUUUGAUUGGCUGAACCCAAAGAGAAGUCAGAAAACCAGAGGAUUCCGUUAAGCUCAGUAACUCUUCUUCCCAAGCAGCGAGAGUGGGUAGACGUGACAGCCUCUUUCACUUGAUGGAUUCCUCCUCUGGUGAAGUUCUCCCUGGGUAAGUCAGACACCCAACCUGGGAAGGUAGGUGUUCCUUUCACUGGCCUUCCUGGCUCUUCCAGCCCAGCAGGUGGUUUCUGUCUAUAGGUUCCUUCAGUUUCUCUGGUGCAUCGAUCAACGCUACUCCCCCUCGUUUGUCUCCUCUGGGCACUUUCAUCUCUAGCUUUUCCUCCAACCAGCUGGCGUCCAAACUGACUGAAGGACAUCACGUGAAUGGACUAUGCUCAUUCCACACCACAGGCUAAUGACGACGCAGAUCAGAUUAAUAGACAAGCCACUGAGGGUUAUAUAGACUACCAAGAUGGAGAGGAAACUAAAAUGUCACGGGCUAAAAUUAGAGUAGGGAGCCAAUUUAGCUCUGUACAUGCUGGCAAAACCAGUGAGCCUAAAUACGCUUGGCUUCAGUAAGACUCUCGAUCCUGCUGCCAGCCUACGUCUGCUGGAAUUUUUGUGUUAAAUAUAUGCAGUUAACCUGGUGUAUAUAUGACCUGACCACUAACUCCCAGACUGGCCCAUCGAGGGUUCCCGGUUACAAGCUACCCUGCAACUGAAAAAUUCACAUUGCUGUCUGCUCUUUAUUGGAAGUGAUUUAGUGGAGUGUCUGCAUUAAAAUAUUUUGAUAUGCCUCUCAAGAAAUUUUCCUGUUCAAAAAAGUCACAUCUAAUAUGUUCAGGGGAAAUAAAUCUUUAUUUUGAGCAUAAAACAUAUAAUUUUAUGAUUUUUCCAUUUCUACUUAAAUGUUGAGCAGACACGGAAAGAAUUAUAGUGUGCAAGGACUCCCACCAGGUACGUGGCUGCCUGGUCAAGCUGCUUGUGAGAUGGAGGGCAGAACUCAGUGAAACGGUACUGAGAGUCUUUCUGGGGUUUUCUCUUCUCAUUAUUUCCAUGUAAAAUCAGGCCAAAAAGAAUCUUCAAAGUAACUCCAUUUGGAAAUGAAGCAAAACAAAACAUGGAGCAGUUUGAAAUAUAGCUCAGGAAACAAGUCCAACAGAUCAUGCAACUGAUCUUGAAGGACUGAGAAAGAUGGGAUGUAAAAUGGUUCUGUGAGAAUCUUGGAUCUUUGUCAUGACCUUGGAAAGUCCAAACCCUCCUGCUCCAAGGCGUCUUUUCUCCAUUCACUGGUUAUAACUCUUUCCCUCAUCCCAAAGAGGAAAAUCCCUACCUAUCGCUGGGGUUAGAGAAGUCUCUCACCUGUAUGCUUCCCAUGUGGGGUUUAAAUGGCAUUGCUCCUUGUCCUGGUUCAUAUUUUGUUUGGUCUUGGUUGUUGUUUGUUUGUUUGUCAGUCUUACACGUGCUAGUGUAAUCUGAGAAGUGAGAACCUCAAUGACAAAUUCCCCCACCAGCAUGACCUCUAGGCAAGUCUGUGAGAUAUAUUUCCUUUUUUCUUUUUGGUUUUUCAAUUCAGGGUUUUUGCUGCAGCUUUGGAGUCUGUCCUGAAACUAAUUCUUGUAAACCACGCUGACCUCAAAGAGGUAUUUUCUUGAUUAAUGAUUGAUAUAGGAGGGUAGGCAGCCCCCCCAUUGUGGAUGAUGUCACCCCUAAGCAGUAGGUCUUAUGUGUAUAAGUGGGGAAUCUAGGAGGAGCAAGGCAGUGAGUAGUACUCUUCCAUGGCCUCUGCUUCUGUUUUUGCCUCCAGAUUUCUGCCUUGA